rnacentral:rRNA from 1 species
UGAGGAAUAUUGGGCAAUGCCCGCAAGGGUGACCCAGCAACGCCGCGUGGAGGAUGAAUGUCGUAAGAUUGUAAACUCCUGUUAGAGGGGAAGAAUAGUACCGGUUGGACCGGUAUAUGACUGUACCCUCAGAGAAAGCCCCGGCUAACUACGUGCCAGCAGCCGCGGUAAUACGUAGGGGGCAAGCGUUGUCCGGAUUUACUGGGUGUAAAGGGCGCGCAGGCGGGAUAAAAGGUCAGUGGUGAAAUCCUACAGCUUAACUGUAGAACUGCCUUUGAUACUUUUAUUCUUGAGUUCGGGAGAGAGAGACGGAAUUCCAGGUGUAGUGGUGAAAUACGUAGAUAUCUGGAAGAACACCAGUUGCGAAGGCGGUCUCUUGGUCCGACACUGACGCUGAGGCGCGAAAGCGUGGGGAGCAAACA